rnacentral:tRNA from 1 species
AAGCCCAUAUUUCAAGAGGUAGAAAUUUCCGCUCAUAACGGAAAAGUUGUAGGUUCAAUUCCUACUGGGCUUA